rnacentral:tRNA from 1 species
UUAUAAGUAGUUUAUAUUAAAACAUCUAUUUUGCAAAUAGUUAUAGCCCUUAGCCUUAUAAAAA